rnacentral:rRNA from 1 species
AUUGAACGCUGGCGGCAUGCCUUACACAUGCAAGUCGAACGGCAGCGGGGGAGAAGCUUGCUUUUCCUGCCGGCGAGUGGCGAACGGGUGAGUAAUACAUCGGAACGUGCCCUGUAGUGGGGGAUAACUAGUCGAAAGAUUAGCUAAUACCGCAUACGACCUGAGGGUGAAAGUGGGGGACCGCAAGGCCUCAUGCUAUAGGAGCGGCCGAUGUCUGAUUAGCUAGUUGGUGGGGUAAAGGCCUACCAAGGCGACGAUCAGUAGCUGGUCUGAGAGGACGAUCAGCCACACUGGGACUGAGACACGGCCCAGACUCCUACGGGAGGCAGCAGUGGGGAAUUUUGGACAAUGGGCGAAAGCCUGAUCCAGCAAUGCCGCGUGUGUGGAGAAGGCCUUCGGGUUGUAAAGCACUUUUGUCCGGAAAGAAAUGGCUCUGGUUAAUACCUGGGGUCGAUGACGGUACCGGAAGAAUAAGGACCGGCUAACUACGUGCCAGCAGCCGCCGUAAUAC